rnacentral:rRNA from 1 species
CCUACGGGAGGCAGCAGUGAGGGGUAUUGGGCAAUGGGGGAAACCCUGACCCAGCGACGCCGCGUGAGGGAAGACGGUCUUCGGAUUGUAAACCUCUGUCUUUGGGGACGAAAAAGGACGGUACCUGACUAAGAAGCCCCGGCUAACUACGUGCCAGCAGCCGCGGUAAUACGUAGGGGGCAAGCGUUAUCCGGAUUUACUGGGUGUAAAGGGAGCGUAGACGGCGCGGCAAGUCUGAAGUGAAAGGCAGGGGUUUAACCCCUGAACUGCUUUGGAAACUGCCAUGCUAGAGUGCUGGAGAGGUA